AGAGUUUGAUCAGGGCUCAGACUGAACGCUGGCGGCAUGCCUAACACAUGCAAGUCGAACGGAAACGAUGGGAGCUUGCUACCAGGCGUGCUGACGGGUGAGUAACGCGUAGGAAUUUGCCCAGCAGUGGGGGACAACAUGUGGAAACGCAUGCUAAUACCGCAUACGCCCUACGGGGGAAAGCGGGGGAUCUUCGGACCUCGCGCUCUAAGAUGAGCCUGCGUCGGAUUAGCUAGUUGGUGAGGGAAAGGCCCACCAAGGCGACGAUCCGUAGCUGGUCUGAGAGGAUGAUCAGCCACACUGGGACUGAGACACGGCCCAGACUCCUACGGGAGGCAGCAGUGGGGAAUAUUGGACAAUGGGGGCAACCCUAAUCCAGCAAUGCCGCGUGUGUGAAGAAGGCCUGCUGGUUGUAAAGCACUUUCAGCAGCUAGGAAAAGCCUAGGGUUAAUACCCCUGGGUCUUGACGUUACCAACAGAAUAAGCACCGGCUAACUCCGUGCCAGCAGCCGCGGUAAUACGGAGGGUGCAAGCGUUAAUCGGAAUUACUGGGCGUAAAGCGCGCGUAGGUGGUUAGAUAAGUUGGAUGUGAAAGCCCCGGGCUUAACCUGGGAACUGCAUUCAAAACUGUCUAGCUAGAGUACGAUAGAGGGGGGUAGAAUUUCAGGUGUAGCGGUGAAAUGCGUAGAGAUCUGAAGGAAUACCAGUGGCGAAGGCGGCCCCCUGGAUUGAUACUGACACUGCGGUGCGAAAGCGUGGGUAGCAAACAGGAUUGGAUACCCUGGUAGUCAAUGCCGUAAACGAUGUCAACUAGCCGUUGGAAGACUCGAUCUUUUAGUGGCGCAGCUAACGCAAUUAGUUGACCGCCUGGGGAGUACGGCCGCAAGGUUAAAACUCAAAUGAAUUGACGGGGGCCCGCACAAGCGGUGGAGCAUGCGGUUUAACUCGAAGCAACGCGAAGAACCUUACCCGCUCUUGACAUCCACAGAACUUUCCAGAGAUGGAUUGGUGCCUUCGGGAACUGUGAGACAGGUGCUGCAUGGCUGUCGUCAGCUCGUGUUGUGAAAUGUUGGGUUAAGUCCCGUAACGAGCGCAACCCUUGUCCUUAUUUGCCAGCACGUAAUGGUGGGAACUCUAAGGAGACUGCCUGUGACAAACCGGAGGAAGGUGGGGACGACGUCAAGUCAUCAUGGCCCUUACGAGCGGGGCUACACACGUGCUACAAUGGCCAGGACACACGGUUGCAACCCCGCGAGGGUGAGCUACUCUGAGAAACCUGGUCGUAGUCCGGAUCGCAGUCUGCAACUCGACUGCGUGAAGUCGGAAUCGAUAGUAAUCGUGAAUCAGAACGUCACGGUGCAUACGUUCCCGGGCCUUGUACACACCGCCCGUCACACCAUGGGAGUGGAUUGCACCAGAAGUAGCUAGCUUAACCUUCGGGAGGGCGGUUACCACGGUGUGGUUCAUGACUGGGGUGAAGUCGGAACAAGGUAACC
rnacentral:rRNA from 1 species